UACGUAGGGGGCGAGCGUUGUCCGGAUUUAUUGGGCGUAAAGAGCGUGUAGGCGGCCAGGUAGGUCCGUUGUGAAAACUCGAGGCUCAACCUCGAGACGUCGAUGGAAACCAUCUGGCUAGAGUCCGGAAGAGGAGAGUGGAAUUCCUGGUGUAGCGGUGAAAUGCGCAGAUAUCAGGAAGAACACCUAUGGCGAAGGCAGCUCUCUGGAACGCAACUGACGCUGAGACGCGAAAGCGUGGGGAGCAAACAGG
rnacentral:rRNA from 1 species